GACGAACGCUGGCGGCGUGCUUAACACAUGCAAGUCGAACGGAAAGGCCCUGCUUUUGUGGGGUGCUCGAGUGGCGAACGGGUGAGUAACACGUGAGUAACCUGCCCUUGACUUUGGGAUAACUUCAGGAAACUGGGGCUAAUACCGGAUAGGAGCUCCUGCUGCAUGGUGGGGGUUGGAAAGUUUCGGCGGUUGGGGAUGGACUCGCGGCUUAUCAGCUUGUUGGUGGGGUAGUGGCUUACCAAGGCUUUGACGGGUAGCCGGCCUGAGAGGGUGACCGGCCACAUUGGGACUGAGAUACGGCCCAGACUCCUACGGGAGGCAGCAGUGGGGAAUAUUGCACAAUGGGCGGAAGCCUGAUGCAGCAACGCCGCGUGCGGGAUGACGGCCUUCGGGUUGUAAACCGCUUUCGCUCAUGACGAAGCUUUGUGUGACGGUAGUGGGUAAAGAAGCACCGGCUAACUACGUG
rnacentral:rRNA from 1 species